UAGAUAGAUUCAAAAUCAAUACAUAUUAGCUAAUAUUAGUAUCUUUAAUAUAUGAAUUGAGCUCUGUUGGGAUUUGAAGUGAAGAUUUUUCCUUUUACUUUUGUUUUAUCUUAUUUAUUUAUUAGCUCUGAGGGAUAUUUCUUUGCAUUUUGAUCAUUCCCUCUUGAUGUGGGAGUUCUAGUGCAAGUGGGGUUUUUUCUUUUUUUCUGGGAUUUUGAAGUGGAAGUGGGAGGUCGAGUGAUUUGGAUUAUACCCGAGAGAAGGGGCUGGUUGAUGCAGCUUUUGUUUAAAUACUUAAAAGUUCAUUUAUGCUCAGUUUUGAAUAUGCUGCCUGAUCAGGGAAAAAAGGUAAAGUUACUCAGCUCAUAUGUAUAUUUAGAUUCACAUGUAUGUAUCUUAAUAUGUUUUGUAUUUUUUGGGGAGGAAUCUAGUGGAUGUUGAGGGGUAGGGAAUGAUAUGUGUGGUGACUUGCCGAGGAUGGAAGUUACGGGUUCCACAGGAAGAGUGAGCAAUCUAAAUCUAGAAAUUGUUAAUGGUUUGAACACUUAGUCAAUCAAGGCAUUGUAGAGGAUGAAUCGAGUGCUGCUAUUGGCAUAAUGUUUCUUGAGGAAGGUGACAGAUGCAGAAAAUGUAUUGCCGUUUUGGUAGGCCUUUCUAGUAAGCUUAAUUCCUCAAAAUUUAUUGAUUCCAUGAAAACAACAAUGUCUUGUCUGAAUAUGCGGCAAGUUGAAUUUCGCACAAGGACCUGUCAAAUACUAUAUUAUUUUGUAUAUAUUACGAGUCUUGAAAGAAACAUUACUCGUUAUAGCUAUUUAUCAUUUAGGUCUUUAGUUGAAAUCCAUAGAAGUUUUAAUUUUCAUGAUUGCCAUGUAGUUCUUCUUGGGUGAUUUGUUCUUUAAUUCUAUGGUAACUGACCUUAAGUAUUAGUACGAAUGAGGUCAUAGAUUUGUUGAAAACAAUCUCAAUAUGAUGAAUUGCUGAUCAAUUCCUAAAUUGUAUUA